UACGUAGGUGGCGAGCGUUGUCCGGAUUUACUGGGCGUAAAGGGAGCGUAGGCGGACUUUUAAGUGAGAUGCGAAAUACUCGGGCUCAACUUGAGUGCUGCAUUUCAAACUGAAAGUCUAGAGUGCAGGAGAGGAGAAUGGAAUUCCUAGUGUAGCGGUGAAAUGCGUAGAGAUUAGGAAGAACACCAGUGGCGAAGGCGAUUCUCUGGACUGAAACUGACGCUGAGGCUCGAAAGCGUGGGGAGCAAACAGG
rnacentral:rRNA from 1 species